ACCUGGGUGGCUAAGUCGGUUAAGCUUCUGACUUCGGCUCAGGUCAUGAUCUCACGGUUUGUGGUUCGUGGGUUCCAGCCCCGCGUCAGGCU
rnacentral:tRNA from 1 species